GACGAACGCUGGCGGCGUGCUUAACACAUGCAAGUCGAACGAAGUGGCGAACGGGUGAGUAACGCGUAAUCAACCUGCCCUUCAGCGGGGGACAACAGUUGGAAACGACUGCUCAUACCGCAUACUGAAGGAGGGGGUUGCGUGUGAUUGUGUAGUUGGAGUGGGAACGGCCCACCAAGGCGAUGAUCAGUAGCCGGGCUGAAGGGAUGAACGAGCAAAAUGGGACCGGGACACGGCCCAGACGCCUAAGGGAGGGAGCAGGGGGGAAUUAUCCGACAUUGACGAAAGGCUGACGGAGCAACGCCGGGGGAGUGAUGAAGGGUUUCGGGUUGGAAAGGUCUGUUAAUCGGGACGCGGUACCGGAAUAGAAAGCAACGGCUAACUACGUGCCAGCAGCCGCGGUAAUAC
rnacentral:rRNA from 1 species